rnacentral:rRNA from 1 species
CAGCCGCCGCGGGAAUACGGAGGGUGCAAGCGUUAAUCGGAAUUACUGGGCGUAAAGCGCACGCAGGCGGUUUGUUAAGUCAGAUGUGAAAUCCCCGAGCUUAACUUGGGAACUGCAUUUGAAACUGGCAAGCUAGAGUCUUGUAGAGGGGGGUAGAAUUCCAGGUGUAGCGUUGAAAUGCGUAGAGAUCUGGAGGAAUACCGGUGGCGAAGGCGGCCCCCUGGACAAAGACUGACGCUCAGGUGCGAAAGCGUGGGGAGCAAACAGGAUUAGAUACCCCAGUAGUCCCUGUCUCUUAUAU